rnacentral:tRNA from 1 species
GGAGGGGUGGCCGAGCGGCUGAAGGCGGCGGUUUGCUAAACCGUUAUAUGGAGAAAUCCGUAUCGUGGGUUCGAAUCCCAUCCCCUCCGCCA